rnacentral:lncRNA from 1 species
UGACUCAGCUUUUUUCGCUUUAUUUCAUUUUCUCUUUAUUUUCUUUUAAUUCAUUCUAUUUUCAAUAAUUCAUAAAAAAUUCAUAUGAGUUCAGAAAAAUAUGAGACCAACUUUAAAAUUUUUCUUGAAAAAUCUAGUUUCAUCUUAUGAUUUUUAAUUAUUUUUGUGGCCUCAUUUGAUAUUUUUCAUGAAUUAUUUGAUUUUUA